AUGUGCAACCCAAGGGUGAUUGAAGUUGUGCUGUCUCUUUGGGAACUGCCAUCUGUGAUGCUCCCAGUGCUCCCAUCUGCUUCCGUGACACCACAAUGGGCUAAUGCAGAAAACAGACUGAGCAGAAAACUAGUCACAUGGGGCAGAAAAAAAGUGAUAUUCUUCUCUAGAAGAAAGCUGGAAGAGGCUCAAGUAGGGGCCAAACAACAUGCUUUUGACUCCUGGAAGUCAGAAGAAAAUGGAAACUGUAAUUUCAAAGACUUAUUCCACCAACAGUUGAGCCUAGUACUGUUAGACCUUUACAUCAGCACAAAGUCUCUCUUAAGUCUUAUUGUGAUUAGGAAAAAUCUUGAGAGCUGGGGACACCUGGAAGCCCUCUGAACCAAUUUAGAUUCAACACACAAAAGAAGAACUUUUUCCAAACACAGUAGAAAGGAAAAUGAAAGAAGGGGAAGGUGCUGGACCAUUCCUUAAAAUUACAUGACAAGGGAAAAGUGCCGGGCUGUGCUCCUGACCUACUGGUAACAUCACUUCAGGCUGAUGUGGACAAAAUAGUGCACGCUCUUUCACCAAGGAAGAAGGAUCCAGCCAAGGAACCAGAGAUAUGAGACACGAUACAGCUGGGCUUCUGUGGAUACCUCAGCUGCCUAGGGGACACUUGGGCAUGGCUAUGAUAGAGAUUAUCUUGUGCUCUUGACCUCUCCUGCAACUGUACUCAGCACUGCUUUGCUUGUCUCUCCUACAAUUUCUUGAUCAUAUUCUGGCAUCAUUUCAAAAUUGAUUAUUCUACUGGGCCAGGUACCAGCAAGCUACGAUUUGGGAUUUUGAUGUGACAGUGUGGGAGGCUCCUCCACACCUAGACAUUACAAGCAGUUAGGGAAGUGGGUCUAGAGGGCACAGAAGAGAGUUGUGUUACAUCUGGACUGCCCUUAUCUCAAAUAUGGCCUCAGAUAUGAUUUGAUAUCAACAGAAUAAACUCCUUGGUCUGCCAACCUUUUUCUCA
rnacentral:lncRNA from 1 species